CCAGCUUGAUGGAGAAGUCAAGAUGACCAAGGCAGAGCUUGGUGUAGGCCAGGGCCUGCAUGAGCUGAGCUGUGGCCAACAACCCCUCCCUGGAGAACCAACAUAAACUGCUUUUCUGAAUGGCCAUCUGCUCACAGUGCAGCCACUUGUCCUUGAUGCCCACACUCUGGGAGAACUGAGAGAGCUCCACAUAGGUAGAGACAACUUCUCACUAGGGUCGUUUGGAGGUUGGCUCAGGGUACAGGAAUGCCAAUACUUUUCCAGGAAUGUCUGGAAAAGGACACCAAACCAGGUCCAAGGGAAAUUCCUUUUCAGCAGUCGAAGGGCUUUCCUAGCCAAUUUUUUGGCUAAAGUGAUACGUCCCAUGUUGAAACAGAC
rnacentral:lncRNA from 1 species